GCAGCCCACCCCGGGCUCUCCCAGGGGCCCGCCCGCAGCCCUCCCCCGCGCGCCCGCAGCCCUCCCCCAGCUCUCCCAGGGACCCGCCCGCAGCCCUCCCCCGCGCGCCCGCACGCUCGCCGAGCUCUUCCAGGCCGGCGGCGCUGACGCUGGGGCCUGGGCGGAAAUGGCAGCGCUGGAAGGAGACGCGAGGGGCUCGUGGGCCUGGCAGGAGCCUUGCCAGGAAGAGUUAGGGCUAAUCAGUGACAAGAUGAGAGAGACAAACCCAAGAACAUCGCUCAGCUCUGCAGGCGCCCUGGUGGAAGAAGUCAGCGUGAGGAAUUACAGACAGGCCAGCCUGUCGUCCAGAAAGACUAUCUCUGAGAGAACCCGGACGGAGAACACCCUGUACCUGGCAGAACCAAUAGAUGUCGGCUCAACAAGGCUGUUGAAAUAA
rnacentral:lncRNA from 1 species